rnacentral:rRNA from 2 species
UACAGGGGGUGCAAACGUUGCUCGGAAUCAUUGGGCGUAAAGCGCACGUAGGCGGUUUGUUAUGUCGGAUGUGAAAGCCCUUGGCUCAACUGAGGAAGUGCAUCCGAAACUGGCAAGCUAGAGUACUAAAGAGGGUCGCGGAAUUCCCGGUGUAGAGGUGAAAUUCGUAGAUAUCGGGAGGAACACCGGUGGCGAAGGCGGCGACCUGGGUAGAUACUGACGCUGAGGUGCGAAAGCGUGGGGAGCAAACAGG